UUACUGGGCGUAAAGCGCGUGCAGGUGGGUGUUUAAGUCACUUAUGAAAGCUCCCGGCUAAACUGGGAGAGGCUGAGUGAAACUGGAUGCCUAGAGUAGAGGAGAGGUAGACGGAAUUCCGCGUGUAGUGGUGAAAUGCGUAGAGAUGCGGAAGAACACCAGUGGCGAAGGCGGUCUACUGGCCUCUAACUGACACUCAGACGCGAAAGCAUGGGUAGCGAACGGGAUUAGAAACCCCGGUAGUCCAUGCCGUAAACGAUGCACACUAGACGUUCGCAGUCAUUGGCUGUGAGUGUCGAAGCCAACGCGAUAAGUGUGCCGCCUGGGGAGUACGGUCGCAAGGCUAAAACUCAAAGGAAUUGACGGGGGCCCGCACAAGCAGCGGAGCGUGUGGUUUAAUUCGAGGAUACGCGAAGAACCUUACCUGGGUUUGACAUGAUGGUGGUAGCUUACAGAGAUGUGAGUGACCUUCGGGAGCCAUGACAGGUGCUGCAUGGUUGUCGUCAGCUCGUGCCGUGAGGUGUUCGGUUAAGUCCGCAAACGAGCGCAACCCUCGGCGUUAGUUACAAGUGUCUAGCGCAACUGCCCGUGGCAAACGGGAGGAAGGUGGGGAUGACGUCAAAUCAGCAUGGCCUUUAUAUCCAGGGCUACACACACGCUACAAUGGCGCAUACAAUGGGUCGCGAAGCCGCGAGGUGGAGCCAAUCCUGAAAGUGCGUCUCAGUUCGGAUUGCAGGCUGCAACUCGCCU
rnacentral:rRNA from 1 species